UACGUAGGGUGCAAGCGUUAAUCGGAAUUACUGGGCGUAAAGCGUGCGCAGGCGGUCCGUUAAGACAGAUGUGAAAUCCCCGGGCUUAACCUGGGAACUGCAUUUGUGACUGGCGGACUCGAGUAUGGCAGAGGGGGGUAGAAUUCCACGUGUAGCAGUGAAAUGCGUAGAGAUGUGGAGGAAUGACCGAUGGCGAAGGCAGCCCCCUGGGCCAAUACUGACGCUCAUGCAC
rnacentral:rRNA from 1 species